AUUGAACGCUGGCGGCAUGCCUUACACAUGCAAGUCGAACGGCAGCACGGGAGCAAUCCUGGUGGCGAGUGGCGAACGGGUGAGUAAUAUAUCGGAACGUGCCCAGUCGUGGGGGAUAACGUAGCGAAAGCUACGCUAAUACCGCAUACGAUCUAUGGAUGAAAGCGGGGGACCGUAAGGCCUCGCGCGAUUGGAGCGGCCGAUGUCAGAUUAGGUAGUUGGUGAGGUAAAGGCUCACCAAGCCGACGAUCUGUAGCUGGUCUGAGAGGACGACCAGCCACACUGGGACUGAGACACGGACCAGACUCCUACGGGGGGCAGCAGUGGGGAAUUUUGGACAAUGGGCGCAAGCCUGAUCCAGCCAUUCCGCGUGCAGGACGAAGGCCUUCGGGUUGUAAACUGCUUUUGUACGGAACGAAAAGGCUCUGGUUAAUACCUGGGGCUCAUGACGGUACCGUAAGAAUAAGCACCGGCUAACUACGUGCCAGCCGCCGCUGUAA
rnacentral:rRNA from 1 species